UAAUACAUGCAACGAAGCUCCGACCCGCRUUCGCGCGCGGGGAAGGGCGCUUUUAUUAGAUCAAGACCGACCGGUACCAWUCGGCCUUCGGGUCGAGCCRCAAAAUACGAKUUGGUGACUCUGGAUAAUCCACGCCGAUCGCACUGCCUUCGAGCGGGSGACGGAUCUUUYGAAUGUYUGCCCUAUCAACUGUCGAUGUUCGGCGCUAUGCCAAACAUGGUGAURACGGGUAACGGGGAAUCAGGGUUCGAUUCCGGAGAGGGAGCCUGAGAAACGGCUACCACAUCCAAGGAAGGCAGCAGGCGCGCAAAUUACCCACUCCCGGCACGGGGAGGUAGUGACGAAAAAUAACAAUACGGGACUCGAUCGAGGCCCCGUAAUUGGAAUGAGCACAUCCUAAAUCCUUUAGCGAGGAUCCACUGGAGGGCAAGUCUGGUGCCAGCAGCCGCGG
rnacentral:rRNA from 1 species